rnacentral:rRNA from 1 species
AACGAACGCUGGCGGCAUGCCUAACACAUGCAAGUCGCACGAGACCUUCGGGUCUAGUGGCGCACGGGUGCGUAACGCGUGGGAAUCUGCCCUUGGGUGCGGAAUAACAGUUAGAAAUGACUGCUAAUACCGCAUAAUGCCACCGGUCCAAAGAUUUAUCGCCCAGGGAGGAGCCCGCGUCGGAUUAGCUAGUUGGUAGGGUAAAAGCCUACCAAGGCUACGAUCCGUAGCUGGGCUGAGAGGAUGAUCAGCCACACUGGGACUGAGACACGGCCCAGACUCCUACGGGAGGCAGCAGUGGGGAAUAUUGGACAAUGGGCGAAAGCCUGAUCCAGCAAUGCCGCGUGAGUGAUGAAGGCCUUAGGGUUGUAAAGCUCUUUUACCCGGGAUGAUAAUGACAGUACCGGGAGAAUAAGCCCCGGCUAACUCCGUGCCAGCCGCCGCGGUAACAC